GCAAACUGUCAUCUGCUGUUCAGUCUUUUGACUAUAAACAACAGAGGAGACAGCGAAAGGAGCCUGCUGAGCCACACACAGCCUCAUCACCACGUCUGAUGUUACCAAAUCCUUAUGUGUCCGAGCAGAGUUUAAGAGGGUAGAAGGAUGAUUGAUUACAGAUUUGUUUAUCUUGAUAAAAGUAAUCAAUCAUUUGGCCUGAUAUCAAGCCCCUCAUUUGUGUUUCUAAUUUCUAAACUUUGUGAAGGAACCGGUCGCCAGGUCUGACCACAAAGCAGAAUCCAUCAAAUACAUAUGAAGUGCCAGCAGGAAAAGGAGAUGUGUCAAGGAGUCGUGGCUACAGCAGCAGUCGUUGUGUUAGAGACACCAGUGAUGACUUCCUGCAGAGAGACAGGUCCAAAUGGGAUCCACAAGGAAAGACAUCAAAAGGCAACAAUGGCUCUCUGGCCAAAGGCAGGGUUAUGGGCAAGAGCUCACUGGAUGCACAGAAAAAAGGUUUUAGAGGUGCCAGAUCUGCCCCGGACUCUGCAGGGAAGCCAAAACCAGCACUGACCGACUUUGUCCCAUUUGAAGUGAAGAUGACUGAUUUCCCAGAGUUAGCUGGUGGUUCGCUGGGCAAACCGGGCUCUCCUCAUGUUCAGAGAGAGUGCUGGGGUCCAACUCAAACACAAACCUCGGCAUCUUCC